rnacentral:rRNA from 1 species
ACGCACGCUGGCGGCGUGCUUAACACAUGCCAGUCGAACGGAAAGGCCUCUUUCGGGGGGUACUCGAGUGGCGAACGGGUGAGUAACACGUGAGUAACCUGCCCUUGACUUUGGGAUAACUUCAGGAAACUGGGGCUAAUACCGGAUAGGAGCUCCUGCUGCAUGGUGGGGGUUGGAAAGUUUCGGCGGUUGGGGAUGGACUCGCGGCUUAUCAGCUUGUUGGUGGGGUAGUGGCUUACCAAGGCUUUGACGGGUAGCCGGCCUGGGAGGGUGACCGGCCACAUUGGGACUGAGAUACGGCCCAGACUCCUACGGGAGGCAGCAGUGGGGAAUAUUGCACAAUGGGUGGAAGCCUGAUGCAGCAACGCCGUGUGCGGGAUGACGGCCUUCGGGUUGUAAACCGCUUUCGCUCAUGACGAAGCUUUGUGUGACGGUAGUGGGUAAAGAAGCACCGGCUAACUACGUG